UGCAAGUCGAACGGCAGCGUGAGGUGCUUGCACCUUGAUGGCGAGUGGCGGACGGGUGAGUAACGCGUAGGGAUCUGCCUUAUGGUGGGGGACAACUCGGGGAAACUCGAGCUAAUACCGCGUAAGCUCUACGGAGUAAAGGUGGCACUUCGGUGCUGUCGCUAUAAGAGGAACCUGCGUUCGAUUAGCUAGUUGGUGGGGUAAAGGCCUACCAAGGCGACGAUCGAUAGCUGUUCUGAGAGGAUGAUCAGCCACACUGGGACUGAGACACGGCCCAGACUCCUACGGGAGGCAGCAGUGGGGAAUAUUGGACAAUGGGGGCAACCCUGAUCCAGCAAUACCGCGUGUGUGAAGAAGGCCUUCGGGUUGUAAAGCACUUUCAAUCGCGAGGAAAGGCUCUUGUUUAAUAGAUGAGAGCUGUGACGUUAACGAUAGAAGAAGCACCGGCUAACUCUGUGCCAGCAGCCGCGGUAAGACAGAGGGUGCGAGCGUUAAUCGGAAUUACUGGGCGUAAAGGGCGCGUAGGUGGAUAAUUAAGUCAGAUGUGAAAUACCUGGGCUCAACCUGGGAAUUGCAUAUGAUACUGGUUAUCUAGAGUACGAUAGAGGGUGGUAGAAUUUCCGGUGUAGCGGUGAAAUGCGUAGAUAUCGGAAGGAAUACCGGUGGCGAAGGCGGCCACCUGGAUCGAUACUGACACUGAGGCGCGAAAGCGUGGGUAGCGAACAGGAUUAGAUACCCUGGUAUUCCACGCCGUAAACGAUGAAUACUAGCCGUUGGGAAGCA
rnacentral:rRNA from 1 species